UACGGGGGGUGCGAGCGUUGUCCGGAAUCACUGGGCGUAAAGGGCGCGUAGGUGGCCUGAUAAGGGUGUGGUGAAAGUCCGGGGCUCAACCCCGGAUCUGCCGUGCCGACUGUUGGGCUGGAGUACUGUAGGGGCAGGCGGAAUUCCGGGUGUAGCGAUGGAAUGCGUAGAGAUCCGGAGGAAGACCGGUGGCGAAGGCGGCCUGCUGGGCAGUUACUGACACUGAGGCGCGACAGCGUGGGGAGCAAACAGG
rnacentral:rRNA from 1 species